rnacentral:rRNA from 1 species
ACGAACGCUGGCGGCGUGCUUAACACAUGCCAGUCGAACGGAAAGGCCCUGCUUUUGUGGGGUGCUCGAGUGGCGAACGGGUGAGUAACACGUGAGUAACCUGCCCUUGACUUUGGGAUAACUUCAGGAAACUGGGGCUAAUACCGGAUAGGAGCUCCUGCUGCAUGGUGGGGGUUGGAAAGUUUCGGCGGUUGGGGAUGGACUCGCGGCUUAUCAGCUUGUUGGUGGGGUAGUGGCUUACCAAGGCUUUGACGGGUAGCCGGCCUGAGAGGGUGACCGGCCACAUUGGGACUGAGAUACGGCCCAGACUCCUACGGGAGGCAGCAGUGGGGAAUAUUGCACAAUGGGCGGGAGCCUGAUGCAGCAACGCCGCGUGCGGGAUGACGGCCUUCGGGUUGUAAACCGCUUUCGCCUGUGACGAAGCGUGAGUGACGGUAAUGGGUAAAGAAGCACCGGCUAACUACGUG